UUAACUCAAAUUUGAAUGGAGUUGCAAUGAUUGCUUACGCUUGCCGCUAGGGAUGCUCUUCCAACUGUAUACGGAUUUGAGUUA
rnacentral:pre_miRNA from 1 species